GCAUAUCAAUAAGCGGAGGAAAAGAAACCAACAGGGAUUGCCCCAGUAACGGCGAGUGAAGCGGCAACAGCUCAAAUUUGAAAUCUGGCCCCCAGGGCCCGAGUUGUAAUUUGUAGAGGAUGCUUUUGGCGAGGCGCCUUCCGAGUUCCCUGGAACGGGACGCCAUAGAGGGUGAGAGCCCCGUCUGGUCGGACGCCUAGCCUCUGUAAAGCUCCUUCGACGAGUCGAGUAGUUUGGGAAUGCUGCUCUAAAUGGGAGGUAUAUGUCUUCUAAAGCUAAAUACCGGCCAGAGACCGAUAGCGCACAAGUAGAGUGAUCGAAAGAUGAAAAGCACUUUGAAAAGAGGGUUAAACAGUACGUGAAAUUGUUGAAAGGGAAGCGCUUGUGACCAGACUUGGGCCCGGUUGAUCAUCCAGCGUUCUCGCUGGUGCACUCUGCCGGCCCAGGCCAGCAUCAGUUCGCGCCGGGGGACAAAGGCUUCGGGAACGUGGCUCCCUCGGGAGUGUUAUAGCCCGCUGCGUAAUACCCUGGUGCGGACUGAGGCCCGCGCUCCGCAAGGAUGCUGGCGUAAUGGUCAUCAGCGACCCGUCUUGAAACACGGACCAAGGAGUCGUCUUCGUAUGCGAGUGUUCGGGUGUCAAACCCCUACGCGUAAUGAAAGUGAACGCAGGUGAGAGCUUCGGCGCAUCAUCGACCGAUCCUGAUGUUCUCGGAUGGAUUUGAGUAAGAGCAUACGGGGCCGGACCCGAAAGAAGGUGAACUAUGCCUGUAUAGGGUGAAGCCAGAGGAAACUCUGGUGGAGGCUCGCAGCGGUUCUGACGUGCAAAUCGAUCGUCAAAUAUGGGCAUGGGGGGCGAAAGACUAAUCGAACCUUUCUAGUAGCUGGUUUCCGCCUAAGUU
rnacentral:rRNA from 1 species